CUUUCAGUGUUCGUAUGUACAUUUGUCUCCUUUGGGAAAAAAUUAAGGAAUACAUGUUUGACAUUUCAUCCAGAAAACUGAAGCAGAAAUUUUUAUUUUUUUUUAUCUUGGCUUCCCCACAAAAUUAAAUAAAGAAAAUUAAAAAAAAAUAAAAAACAAAAUUGAAAACAAAGCAAUUAAGCUCAGAGUGAAAAACCCCGAGGUUUUAAAUGCAUUUAAUUUCUGUUCAGCACCAAAAUGCUACAUCAGGUUCAACUUCGGUUCGUUUGUCCAGUUUUUAUUUUGUAUUUUAUUUUUUACGAAUGCUCAUAUUUCCUCUCACUUGACCUCCUUAAAAUGUCACUGGUAAAAGAAGAAAUUUUAGUUAGCACUCAACAGUGCUGUCCUUUUUCCCUCUUCCGGAGUGUCACCACGUCUCUGGUAGCUUCUGUGUGUGGUCAGCAGUGAGAACUUCCCGGUUUAUCACAUUGUCAGGACCAGCAAUUAGGUUAAGAUGGUGAACAAAAAGUCACAGAGACUAAAGGAGGUAAACUGCAGUUUACUCUGAGAUCAAAAAGAGGGCACCCUUGAGAUAACUUUUUAUACAUUAGAAAGGCCUGAGUCUCUAUAUCAUGACAAUAAUUUAGGAAAAAAAUACUUUAUUGAAAAUGUGUAUCGGAGUCGAGAUGAAACAAGCAAAUGCUUUCUACAAACACACACACCAAACAGUUUCAGCACACAACAUUGUCAUAAUCCUUCACACCAUCAAAGAAAACAUUGUAGAGAACGCAAUGUAAAUCUUUAUUGACUGACCCUUGUUUUAACGGAGUAUUAAUGUGAAAUUCAGAAAAAGCAGCAAAAUAAACUUCAAAUAUCAUAUCAAAUAAACCACCUUCUUUAACUAAGACACAACAAGGUUUGUUUCAGUAUGGCUUUCAGUAAGGACUUAAAUUUCAAAAUUUAAUGUUCCUUCUUCUCAGGAGAACAUAUACUGAGUUGCACACCAGGUAUGACUGCAUGAGUCUGUUUUUAUCCAUUUCACCGUUACCUUUUAACACACUGUGUUUAAAAUGAAUUUCUCAAACCCGUCUUCAAUGACAGGUUGUGAAACAAUAGUGCUUUAAAAGCUGUCACUUGACAACUUUUUAAAAAAGGUAACAUGUUUUACCUUUCUGAAAAACUUAAACUUUACAGUUUCUUUAAACAAUUAAGUUUAGCUCAUUCAUAACAAUACAAAAUGCUCAUGCUGGCAAACCCAGUGAUUACUCAGGAAAAAAAAAAAAGUAAUUCAACAAAAAAAUCAAGUGCAUGGUCACUCAACAAGGUGAAAACAUCUCCAAGUCAAAAUUACAUAUGAAAUGUACAUAGAAUCAAAACUAACCAACUGUAAACAGUAUAUAACCUUCAACAUUCAAAGGUUCACCCUUUAUAGCUCAAAUUUUGAACAUGUCCACAGAUCAAACAUUUGUGUUCCUUCCAUUUGAAGAACCAUUUUAACCAAAUAAUCAAAACAACACAGAUAAACAAUUGAAAUAAACUGAAUCCUCAGGUUCUGAGCCUGACAAAUGUACAGCCCAGUAGAGUUCCCAGGUCUUCAGGUAGUGGUCUUUUAAUUGUUCCCAAAGUGAAAACAAAAACAAACCAUGAAUCAUCAUUCCAAUAUUACGCCCCCCAUCUGUGAAACAGCUUACCUGCAGACCUGAGAGUGACACCUACUGUUCAUAUUUGUAAAAGGAAACUCUACCUACCUUUUUACUCUGGCUUUUAGUUGAAUUCUGUUUUAAUCUCUGAAUCUGCAUUAUGUGAUUUCAUACUAUUUUGGUCUAAGAGUUACUAUUUUGUGUUUGAUAACCUCAUUUUUAAUUUACUUUCUUUUAUUGCUUGGUUUUAAGACAUUUUUAAUUAAUUAACUUUUAACGCUUUAUUACCUUUAUUUUAUUUUAUCAUGGUUUUAUCGCUUUAGUUGUAAGUCCAGCGUUUCCUCAUUUUUUCAAACUCAAAACAGCGUUUCCUCAGUCACCUGUGGCAAGUUGAA